GCAGUUGCGUACAUGCAUUUAUCUUAGUCUGUUUCGCUCUUUGAUGAGAUAAAAGAAAUGUGUUUAAAAAUAUCUCAGCAAUAUUUUUUUUUUUGUGAAAUUUUUAUUUCCUGUCAUCAUGCCAAUUUAGCCAAUCAAUAAUUCUUAUAAUGUUUAUAUACCACAAACAUUUUUAUUUUUUAUAGAACUGCAAUAACCUCAAAAACUAUAUUUCAAUAAUCCGAUAAAAAUUGCUCUGUUGACCUUUGGGAAUUAUUUGGAAUAAAUGAAGAAAAAAUCAAUAUCAUAUGGAAGAGUUAUAGUGAUGAAUAUAAUCAAUAUGACCAAUAGUUCAAUGACUUGGUCCAAAACGAUGGGGUUGAUGGCCUGACAAGUGGUAAAUGCUUUUAUCUAUGUAUGUGUGAUGAUAUAUCCCUUUUUAUCUCUAUGUCAUCAUAUUAACAAAAAAAUAACAACGUACGAAGAUCCAACAGAAAUUAAUCUUCAACGGAUGGUUCUCAUAGUCCUGAGACAAGUUUUUUCAUAUAAUCUUGAGACACUAGUAAUUCGAUCUCACUCACUCUUAAAAAAAUAAACCAAGAGAAUAUUCUUGUGCACCUUAGUAGAGUAUCGUGGGUGUGGCAAAUAAUGUGAUGGAAAGAAUUGAAAUUGAAAGAUGAUUCAAGAUGAUGGAUGUAGUGCAAAUGAAGCUCAUCUGGAGGUAAACCAAACCAGACAAAAGAAAGACGAAUGAUAUUCUAUCUAAAAUAAUCCUUGUUAAUUCUCUAAGUUUUAAUUACAAUUCGCGAAUAAAGAAAUGAUAACAAAUUAUUCGAGGGUGAAUAUUUAAACCAUCAAAGGCACACGAACGUGACAGUAAUAGGGUAAAGAUAGUGAAAACAACUGAAAAAAAAAAUUUUAAAGUUAGUAAAACAGGGGUUAAAGAUCGUGACAAGAAUUAUUACUUCCUUCCUGCUAAAAGACCAAUGAACUUUGAACAGAUAACAGACACGAAACCCGAGCGUAAAGAUAAAUUUGUUGUAAUUUAUUUAUCAUUGAAACUCUGGCGUGCAAAAGGGAUCCUGAACUUAACGAAUUUCCUGAAAUGAAUAUUGUGAAUAAUUAUCUUCACUUCAUGAAAAAUAGCAGAAAAAUUUUACCAUCUAAAACAAAACAUUUCAUUUGCUUUAAGCCUUAUUUGAAAAUAAAAUAUUUAUUUUAUUUUAUUUAAAUUUAUUAGAAAUAUCUAAUUCAAAACCCAAACUGCAGUUCUUAUCAUCAUAAGGACUAUAACUGAUUCAAGACAUCAUCAAGCUUGAUAAUAAACUUCAGUACACUAGUGUUAGCUAGCUUGGACUUAAUAUUCUCCAAUUGCUAAGACCUAAGACAGUGAUGAACCUAAACAAAUGUUUUUGAAGGUGUAAAAUAAACGAAAAAACACGAGGGAAAAAGAGAAGUAAAUGACACCCGUGAACAUAAUAAAUGUAUAAAUUUUUCAACGUCUUGAAAACA